UGGGGCUGAUAGGACUGAGAUACCUCCAUUGCUUUCGCCACCCCACCUGCACCAGACUCCUCCGGCCUGGGUCGAGUUCUAGCAUAGUUGGAGAGCCAGAUGAGGACCUGGACUGACAUCCCAACUCUUCUCAUCAUCUGCUUGAUCCUCUGCAGCAUCCUCACCACUCUCAAACUCUACAGCCAUAUCUUGACCCUGGUGAGAACAGUGACUUCUCCUUACAACCCUCUCCUCAGUGGGUCAUCAGCUCCACCCCAGGAGAAGCCUCCAUUGGUUCCUGACCUGAUCACUGUGGCCUGAGUGAAUGUGCAUCUGCUGGACUUAAGGCCUAAGGCUUGAGACUUUAGAUCUGGCACUUGAGCUUAGCAUGCAGAGGGAAUGUGUGUAAUGAGUCUGUCAUGAUUAAGUGUGUUUGCAGUGCUUAGAAUGAACUUAGAAUUAUUUGUUUUGGAUUGAUUAUGUCUAUUGCAGGGCUCAGCAUUAAGGAUUGUCAUUUUCUUGAUUAAGAACCUAUAGAGUGAAAUUGUAUUGAAUAAUAUGAGUGAAUAAAGCAUUGAAAAGGGCA